rnacentral:rRNA from 1 species
GACGAACGCUGGCGGCGUGCUUAACACAUGCAAGUCGAACGCUGAAGCCUAGCUUGCUGGGUGGAUGAGUGGCGAACGGGUGAGUAACACGUGAGUAACCUGCCCUCUUCUUUGGGAUAACGCCCGGAAACGGGUGCUAAUACUGGAUAUUCACUGAUCUUCGCAUGGGGGUUGGUGGAAAGGUUUUUUCUGGUGGGGGAUGGGCUCGCGGCCUAUCAGCUUGUUGGUGGGGUGAUGGCCUACCAAGGCUUUGACGGGUAGCCGGCCUGAGAGGGUGACCGGUCACAUUGGGACUGAGAUACGGCCCAGACUCCUACGGGAGGCAGCAGUGGGGAAUAUUGCACAAUGGGCGAAAGCCUGAUGCAGCGACGCCGCGUGAGGGAUGGAGGCCUUCGGGUUGUAAACCUCUUUCGCUCAUGGUCAAGCCGCAGCUUUGGGUUGUGGUGAGGGUAGUGGGUAAAGAAGCGCCGGCUAACUACGUGCCAGCAGCCGCGGUAAUACGUAGGGCGCGAGCGUUGUCCGGAAUUAUUGGGCGUAAAGGGCUUGUAGGCGGUUGGUCGCGUCUGCCGUGAAAUCCUCUGGCUUAACUGGGGGCGUGCGGUGGGUACGGGCUGACUUGAGUGCGGUAGGGGAGACUGGAACUCCUGGUGUAGCGGUGGAAUGCGCACAUAUCACGAAGAACACCGGUGGCGAAGGCGCGUCUCUGGGCCGUUACUGACUCUGAGGAGCGAAAAGCGUGGGGAGCUAACAGG